GAUGAACGCUGGCGGCGUGCCUAAUACAUGCAAGUCGAGCGAACAGACGAGGAGCUUGCUCCUCUGACGUUAGCGGCGGACGGGUGAGUAACACGUGGAUAACCUACCUAUAAGACUGGGAUAACUUCGGGAAACCGGAGCUAAUACCGGAUAAUAUAUUGAACCGCAUGGUUCAAUAGUGAAAGACGGUUUUGCUGUUACUUAUAGAUGGAUCCGCGCCGCAUUAGCUAGUUGGUAAGGUAACGGCUUACCAAGGCAACGAUGCGUAGCCGACCUGAGAGGGGGAUCGGCCACACUGGAACUGAGACACGGUCCAGACUCCUACGGGAGGCAGCAGUAGGGAAUCUUCCGCAAUGGGCGAAAGCCGGACGGAGCAACGCCGCGUGAGUGAUGAAGGUCUUCGGAUCGUAAAACUCUGUUAUUAGGGAAGAACAAAUGUGUAAGUAACUAUGCACGUCUUGACGGUACCUAAUCAGAAAGCCACGGCUAACUACGUG
rnacentral:rRNA from 1 species